rnacentral:tmRNA from 1 species
GGGGGCGUACUUGGCUUCGACGGGGAUCGUUCUAGGGUAGAUAAGCAGGCCGCAGUGCCCAAAACUGCGUUAAAAAAGUGGGGUUUAAAAAUAAACGCUAAAAACGAAAACACACAAUUAGCUGCUGCUUAACGCAGCUACGUCCAGUAUCCGCUCUCUCAUCGGCUGAUAUGCGGGCGCCAAUUUAGAUGGGGAACUGCUUUAUCCUUGCUCCGGGGAUGAAGAUGGAUUAUUGGAGCUACUCAAUGGCUGCCUGUGGAGAGGGCAUGCCGGAGGGGAAAUAUCGUGCUCUCCACUAAGCCUGUAGAAAGUUUAUCAAAGAGGUUUUCGGACAGGGGUUCGACUCCCCUCGCCUCCACCA